GGAUUUUCUUCCCUGACACAAACAGCAGAGCAUUUGGGACAGAGAGCUCACUGACAGUUUGAGUGCUCAGCACUGUUCUGGAAACCUGUCCACAGGCAGUGUCUCUAAUGGCCCUGCUGAACAGCACAAAGCUGCCAGCUAAGCGCCACAAAGGAUUCGUGAGUCUUAUCUCUGCUGAAGCUGUGACUGACCCAGCACAUUUGGUGUAGUGUAGAGAAAUGGCUGGUCACUUGCCACCCUGAGUGGGAAUCAGGCUGCUGUUGAGAAGCCGCUGGGGUGCCGUGCUGCCCCAGGGAACGGAACCGUGACAUCAGCUCAAGCAUGAAGUCGUAACAAUGCCACUGCUUUCCCAAAAGGCCACGGUCUGUGGGAAGGAACACAACUGCAAUUCUUGAUGCGAGUUUUUCAUGCCUUUGUGUGUGACUGAUGCAGGAAAAGGCUCAGUUUCUACUACGAAUCACCUGAAAGCGCUCGAGGUAUCGGGGAAGCUUGGACUGUUCUGGUUCCUCAGUGUCUAGCUGCUCCACCAGGUUUGCUGAGCCCAAGCCAUCUUCACCUUCCUGAGGCUGUGCCUCUGAAGUCUGGACAUCUGGAGACGUCACCACCUUCAGGACUCCAUCCAGCACAUCGAGCUGUAGGGCACAGGAGAGUCAGGAGGACAUCUGUUAUAGACUUGACUGUGUGCAGGCCAACUUCAAAGUGUGUGUUCCUUGGUUAUAAUGACUGAGAAAGAGCAUUAAUGAUAUCAGCAUAAUGUGCCAUGGGAGACACUGGGUUGAGGACCUCAGGACAGAAAUGAAAGCUGAGUGGUGAGCCUUGGCAUUUCAGAGUCAAGGCCACACAGAAGAGCAUCUCCAAGGGUGUAGGCUAGGCAGCUAGCCAGCUCCCAGGGCUUCAUGUCUCUCUGCUCCCUCCCUGCCAUUACCGGACGAUAACUGCACUCCUGGGCCUGGCUUUUUAAGUGGUUCUGGGGAUCUGAACUCAGCCACACUGAAAAUGUUUGUGGUUUCUUUUCAUCCUUUUAAACGGAAUAAAUACCAAUUCUGCACACAUACAGAAAGCAGCGGAAGGAGAAAGACCAUGGGAACAGAUGCCUGUGAAGCCUCCAUUUGACUGAGUGGGGUGGAAAAACAUACCACUUCUCUACCCAGCUUGAGGUCUUCAGGGGAGGAGGCCACCCUCUCCAUCACUUGGAGGGCUCUGUCGAGGUAGCCUGGUGUCCACAUCAGAGGCAUGCCGUGGUAUACAGCCCGCACCCCACGCUGCAGUUCCACCUUCCCUGUGGCCAAAAGAGCAACAAAGACUGAUCAGCCAUGCCUCCUCACUGGGUCUGCAGCCAAAGGCUUGGAAGGCCCCAGCCAACAGCAGCCUAGGCAAGGACCCUCACCACGCACACCUUAAAAGGAAGCUUGGUGAACUUGUGUUAUGUGUUUCCUCUGGCUGGAGAUUUACCAGGGCCCAUGAAUCAUUGGGCUGAGGAACUUUGAGAGUCUGACAGAGCUGUUCCUACAGAAGGCCACCCUUAAGACAAAAGAAAAUUAUACUACGUAUGUUUCAAGGCCAAAACCAUACCCAGAAAAAGCAAUGUCACAGCUUCCUACUCUGAGGACCCUGUGACUCAGCGGUGACUUUCCCUGCCGGGAAAUGUGUGACUUGUUUUGAAAAGUGUCAAACAUACAAUCUAUUUUCUUUAUGAAUAAGAAAAGGAACUGCUUCCCCCC